GGGAGAAGCACAGGGCGACGUGCACAGGGCUUCAUGCUAACACUGCUUUCCCUUUUCCAGUUGGUGAUGAGUUCAGCUGAAAGGACUGAAGGCCAGUGCAAACAGGUCUUCUGCAUCACGUGGAUAGCAUGCAGAACGAUAGUCUUGCUGUUUCUAAGAAGCAAAUCAUGUCUUCUUGCUGAACUCUGCUGCCGUUUCAAAGCAGAAGCUCUUGUGUUCACGUCCCCGAUAGAGAGCUUUUUAAAAAAUGGUGGCAACUUUCAGCACAGUUAUUGGUGUUGACUGUGGGGUUCAGAACAAACAGCUGUUGUCCUUCAGGCACACCAACAGCUCUGACUUUACUUUACCUACUGCUUCCCUCUCUUUGUAAUCAGUCUGGAUCUAAGGCUCCGUUGUUAUCUAACCGAUGUAUCACAGAAGUUUUCUUUCCCUCGUUUUUGCUUUUUUUUUCUCUGUAAAAUUCAGGAUUUAUGCUUACUGAAACAAAGAGCACUUUGAGUCACAACAUGAAGUGUGCAUUUUUUAAAAAUUAUAAAGGGAUCUUUUUUUUUCUUAAUUUUUGUUUUUGUCUAAGGAAACUUAGUGGAACAUUCAUUUCUGUUUGAGAGGAAGCUCGCUCUAUAUGGACAAUAAAGAUGUUAAGAUCAGGAUGAAUGUCUAUGGCAGAUAAUAGCAAAUAAAAAAAUGCACCAGUCCACUACUCAUGUUUUCCAGGAACUGCAAGAACUCAGCCUGGGUUGUGUUGUAAAUCUGAGCCCCAUUGUUCCUGACUGGGGUCGAGCCCGUCAGAGAGACUUCUUUGUUCCUUUGAGCAGCUUCUAUCUGAAGCCAUGUGGAGCUUUUUCAUCUUUUAAGCAGAAAUGUUGAGAUGCAUGUGUACUGACAUGCUUUGCUUUCCGCUCUCCCAGAUUUAGCAUCUUUUCUGCUAUUUCCUGUUGAACAUCAGCAGAGCGCGUUGACACCGGCAGAAGUAAUCUGACCUGCAGUGAGGCUGUGUGUGGGACAGCCUGCAGUUACCAAUAGUACGUGAUGUGUGCCAUUAAUACAUAGCUGCUCUUAUGCCAGGGAACAUGCCUUGUGAGGCAGCGCCAGUGUGAGUCUGACCUCAGGCAUCCCAAUAGCGUGGUGUGUGUGCUGUGGCCGUGCUGGCUGACACCAUUUGUCCCCUGAGAGAUGCAAGGUGGGUGGAAGCACUUUUUUUUUUCCCCUCCUGUUGACUCUGUUGUACUUUGUAGCAAUAAUUAUAGGCUUGCAGUGUCAGGGCCAGAAUUUAGUUACGCCCUUUUCCAGGUGAAUACCCAAAACCCAGAGACAGACUCACUUUUCUUUCUUUCCUCUGUUUCUCAGUCACUGCACGUUGUCUUUUCACAAAGCAAAUGGUACUUCAGCCAUAAACCCUCUGAUAUUUUGGCUUUCAUCUUGUCUUCCUGUAGGAGCCUGGUAAACUGCUUGCCAGUCGUAGGCAAGAUUUGUUAGCAGGUAAAAUUACUUAGCUUUUAGGCAAGGUUAUUUGGAAAUGCCAUUGCUCAUCCUUUCAAUACCCACCAGGUGAACUGCUUCCCUUUCAGAAUUCCCACAGAAUGUUUCCUGGCCCACCAGCAUCCAGCUUUAAGCUCUAGCACUGGAGAACAAGCACACCUAUAUUGUAUGUGAAAUAGUCUCUUAUAACAAAAAUUACAGAAGUCCCAGAUUCCUGUGUCACACUGUGUUUGCAAUCCUGACUGCCAUUGACAGAUUACUUGUCUGUGAGAACGCUGUGACAAACCAACCUGGCAAAAAUUAACUUGAAAAAUACUUGGGAGCUUGUUGCCAUCAGCAAACCUGGGGUCUUUAAGAGGCCGUUGUCAGCAGCGUGCAGGGUGAAGCCAUCCAAUGCAAUCAUGUUAGUGCUAGCACAGAGCAUGAACUCCUGAGAGGGGACUUGGCAUUGGCUUAUGCUCAAGGGCAAUUGUUGGAGCAGCUUGUGAACAGGCAGCCUGCCAGCUAGACAGGCAUAGCUCUGGACAGCUAAUAGACCGUGUGUGAGUGCAGGGAAGGCAGGAUGCACAGCUGGGAAAUUGGAAGGAGAUUUCUAUAAACUUCUGCUCUGAGGGGUAAGAGUAUAUUCAGGCGAUGCCAAUCCAUGGAAGAGUAACAAAAUGAUUUCUGGCAGCUAAGACAGGUUCUUGGUCCCGCUGAAUCUGACAGAAUGCUGUGGGGGAGAACUGGAGAUGUCUUGGUUAACAAGUAUGGAAAUUAUAUCAGUAGCUUGGCCAUCUAGGUUUUAAGUGUUGUCAAUCUACAACAUGCAAUACUUGUCUAAUGUUUUCUGGCUGCUUACUUUAAGGCACAAGAGCAGACAGCCUCUCUGUAAUGAGCUGGGAUGUAUAGGCAGCAAGCUGUUGAUAGCAGAGCAGAAAUCUUGGUUCCUCAACAAGCUGAGCUUAAAUUAAUCAGAAAAGAUGGCAGGCAGGAGAGGAAGCAGUGUUGUUUUCUUUUGUCUGUGCUUUUUUUUCACCUGACAAACUGAAUUCCCCAUGAUUUUCUGUCUCUCUGCUAGGUCCCCAAGUUCACUCCUUGUCUAAAUUCCUCUCAGCUCUACGUGUGCUCUAGCUCACGAGCUAUGCUCAUCUUUGCAUCCUUCUGUGUAUUUAAAAUCUGCACCACAAAUGCUGGGCUGAAGCAAAACUGAUUUACUGUAAACAUGUUGUCACUCAGCAGUUCAGCAAGGGAUAAUUACCAAAACUCCAAGACAAAGGUGUUCUGUAUCUUUUAACUGGGUUAUGGAAAGAAUACUUGAGUCUAAUGAGUCUGUGGCUCUUCCAGACAUCCAAGUGAGCCUUGCUGUCUCCAGAAGAGCCAGAAAGUCAUUCUGGGAAGGCAGAGUGUGGAAUCUGACACUACAGUGUAAUUGAGGAAAAAGAGGCCAUAUGAAUUAUUUAUGAGCAGAAGGCUGGGCUUACUGUUAACAAGGGAGAAGAAAGUGGCUUCAAAAUUCUGGCUUUCUGCUCUUCCCUGUAAGAAAGGCUGCUGUUUUAAAUUGCUUGCAUUUUAGAGCAGCAGGGAGACAGGGCUGUUAUUUAUACUGUGCCUUAUUUUGUGUCCGUGGUGUAGUACAGGAUUGAGGGAGAGGCAGGGAUUGCCCCAAGGAGCGCACUCCAUUCACUCAAACUGUGGUAAAGAUGUGUCAUGUGUUCUGCUCUGUAACUAGCUCACCCCAUCUCCUCCAGGCAAAAAGUUUCAGUGCAGGAGAGAAGCAAGCAGAACUGCUACAAGCUUGGCAUUUCCUUUGGGUAGGGACAGUUUCAAAAGCUGAGGAGUUUUUUUCUGGAUCACUGAUCCAGCAGAUGACUUUGUCAUGCCCUCUCCUUGCAACCUCUGUCCAGGUUUGGGGUUGUGUGAGCUGACCUUGUGGCUUUUGCCCUGUGAGAGAUCCCCCACCAGCAGGGUCUGCCCUGUCUGCUGCUGCCUUGUGUUGAAACUGGCACCAGCGAUCCAGCUCAGGCAGUUACAGAGUCUCACCUCCCAGUCAUACAGAUGUGCUGUGGUUUUGUUUUUUAGCUAACUAGGCCUCUGUAAAAGUCAGGAAGCAAGAAGUGAACACCGCUGCACUGGAGUUGAUGAAAAGUACUCUGUUCCUUGAUUUCUAACGCUGGCUCAUUGAUUCUUUGGUUCAAUCAGCAGUUAGUGCUUUUCAUUAAUGCAUGCUGCAGUAGUUAGCGGAGUGGGUUCUUGGUAGACAGACCCCUGAGAAAUCUUAACGGGCCGGAGGGGUGAAGAACACUGGGAUCUUACCUGUGGCUCAGAAUUAAAAUGUUAAAGUGAGGAGAGUCCUCACGUGAAAGUCACUCUGCAGACAGGUUUGUGACUACACAGCUUUGUGCGUGUCCAGAGGGGCAGGCAGAUGUAUACCUGAGGGGAGACAGUGGAAAGCAUUUUUAUUUCUUAUGUAAAAGCAGGAAUGCCAUCAAGUUUUCUCAGUCCCCAAGCUUGUUAUAGCAAAGACAGUAAAAGCAGGAAGGACUAUGGGAAAAGAAUGUUUUCUUAAAGGAGAGAUGGGAAUAGGAGAGGCUGGAGGUGAGGUACAGUGCUGGGGGAGAGAGGCAGCCCUUGUGGGGACUGGUGAGUCAACAUCCUCCAGCAAAGAAGCACUGACUCACUGGAAAGAACAUCACUCUGCUGCUCCUUUUCUGCUAAGACUGAGGAACUGUGAAUUGAUAAUCAGCUUUACUGUGCAGGCUCCCCACUUAGAGAGUGAGAUCUAAGAGGGUAGAACUGGAGACCAUGGAAAGAAACAAGAGACAAAGGUGAGCCUGAAUGCCUGGUGUUAGUGCAGAGGGUCCCUGCAGAGCUGGAGAGGAGGAUCCCCUGGAGCAUGGCCUGGAUGAGGAGCAGAAGGUCAGCUCCAAAGCUGGGCUGUGCACCAAGGUCCUGAUGAAUGCCUGUUAGCAUUCACUUGGCAGCAGGGUGGAGGCUGUGGCUCUCAGCACUGCUGCCCCCAGUGAGGCACACACGAUCCUUUGCAGCAUGCCACCUGGGAGAGCUGCCAGUCAGAUCUCCACUGCGGAUUAAAGUUGAGUACAGCCAAUGGGGGUGUUGUUCCGUGCUGAUAUUUAUCUCCUGUCCAGCUCAUAGUGUGUAACAGGAUAAGGAGAGCCAUCAUUUGUUCUGCAGUAUCUGCAGAUUUCUAAAAGAAAAUGUAUCUUAUUACUGCGUAUGCAGGAGGGCUCUCUGCCCGGGUGGAGAAAGGGAUCGGAGUGCCAUGUAGUUCUUUUUUCUUCUGACAGAGAAAGAAGAGGUCUCAAAAGAAUCCAAAAUGGCCCUAAAAGCUCAUUUGUGCUCGUAUUACUACAGCUCAAAAGGUAUUUCUUAUGGGCUAAGCGUAAAGAGCUCUAAUACAGAGUGUGGUGUUCUAAUUAUUUUCAAAGCAGCAGAUGACUCUCAGCACAUUGAUGCAGUGUGCAGCGAGGGCAGGGGCCAUAAAGGCAGAGCACAGCCAGUCCCUGACUCUGGGAUCAGAACGUGUGAUUGCAACUGCAAGUGCGUUGCAAUUUUCUCUCGCUUUACAAGUUUUAUGUUGGUAAUGUGAAAUAAUUAAUGAACCACAGCAGUGCCGCAGAAGAGGAAUAAUUUUAAUGUUCUUUUUAAAGAUGCUACUAAAUCAGUGGGGCAGUUUAAAGAGGAAUGAUGGCCUGGAGAUUAGCAAACUACUACGAGAACGAGGCGGGGUUUUGAGAAGGAGUGAAUCUCAAACAGGCGGAUUCUUUGUGAUCCAUGGUGUGGACACUUGUAUGUCUGGCAUACGGUGGCGAGGGCAGAAGUUGCUGACUUUUAGGCGUUGACGAGUUAGACUCUGCAAUCUUGGUCAGAAUUAAAGAUCCCCAGGACUUGGAAAAGGCAGUGAGAGAUGACAAAGCACAGGCGACACUGUGCAGGAGCAGUAUUUUUCCAUUCCUGUCAUAGGUCUUCUGACUACCAGCUACAUAAGCGAUGUCUACAUGGACUUUUGAAGGCAGAUAGGAGCUUACUCUGGCUGUUGUCCAAAAGAACCAGGAGCCAUGUAGCUGCAGCUUGAGUGCUGCAUGCCCAAAUUACUGUGGCCUGCUGAGAGGCAGGAUAUUAGCCUGGGCUCGGGGCUGUGGCCAGCUCAGGCCGUGGGUGAAGCGAGUUUUCGUCUGUGUGCAGAAAAACACGUAGACAAGGGUAGCCAACGUGCGUGGGAUUUGGAAAUCCAUUUUAGCGAUGAGAGUAUCAGGAUCUGGAGUGGGUUUGCUGCCCACAUGAAGUUCAGGCAAAUACAACUUACUGUGCUCCCUGUACAAGCACAAAGAGCAGCACCGUGUGGUUUAGCCUGAGAGCCAGCCUGCGUCUCAGUGGCCAAAGAAAACUGCUUCAUGGCCUUGAUCCAAAUUCUGUGGGCCUCCAGUUGGCUAUCUCUGUUGCAGGCAUACCCAGGGUUUCUUUUCUGUUUUGGAUGGCAGUGACUGUGAACAGAGAGGGUUUCAAUUCAAUCUUUACUGGCUCUGUGAGUUUCUGCAGGAGCUGACUGUGACACCUGACUACCCAGAUGGAAUUCUGAGCCUGAGAGGUCCAUAAGAAGCAGAUAAGCAAGGCUUGAGCCAAAGUCUUCAGGACACCGAAGGAAGCUGGAACUAUAACACCAUCACAUGGCUCACAACAAGCUGGCAUGGAGGAGAGGAUCAGCUCUGCAUUGCUGAGGAAGUCGCACAGAGUAUGCAGCGAAACAUGCGUCCCCAGGGCGCUUGGAGGCGAUGAGUAUCAGCAGUCAGUGGAACCGGUCCAAAUUUACAGCAAUGCAUUUACAACAGCCAUAAUUUCAUUCUUGAUGAUGGGGGAGCAAAAAUAUGUACCAGAAAAAAGAAAUGUCUCACUGAGGCUAUAGAAAUAGUGGUGGGGAAAUGGCUUGGCUUUGCUUGCUGUUGCUGAUUGCUGUUCCUGAUACAUCCCUCAGUUCUGGCUCUUAUGGUAUACACGUUAAAAUUAGUUCCUCUUCCACCUUUUAGGUAAUAAUCCUUUAAAGGAACCUUUCAGAUCACCACCACCCAUGAUGACAGGAAAACAGUGUUAGCUACAGCUCCUGUGGUCUUGGUUACUGCGUGUUGAUACAAACAGAAGACGUGAUCUUGGAUUAACAAUAGCUAUGGUUUAGGUUUUCUUCCUUCAGCGAUCCCUGAAAAGGAUGCUUGCAAGCAUAAUUUGGUGCUAGAGGCUGAAAAAACAUCAAUUCUAAUGGUUGCAUUUUAAGGUUAACAUGAGGGCUAAGUACAUAGCGUUUCCUUUGAAGAAAGCAUAUAUGCUCUGGCAGAGGGGUAGCUGAAAACCAUGUCUGUAAGAGCAGUGGCUGAUGGUUUAGUUCUGCAUGAUAAAAUAAAUCACGUUGAUUAAGUUCAAGCUCCAGUACCUCAGAUGUUUGUUGUUGCAGAGCAGCAGCUUGGCUGAUUGGCAGCUCUGGUUUAGUCGACAUGUGUUAACAGAAAUUGCUCGAUUUACAUGGAGUACUUCAAUCUGCUGGUUUAGAAGUUUGUCCCACAUAGACUAGCAUUUCAGCUUUUGAAUAAGUGGAGGACUUGUAAGGGUCAUUAAAGGAAUUGCUAAAGCUUCUGUAAGCACUGUAGGCCGGAUUGCUGACUGAGAUGCGUAGCAUGCACGUGUCACUGCAGAUUCUUCCCAGAUAAUGGUACUGGUGAGAUUUUAAUCUGGACGAAGUGCUGGAGGCGACUCUCUUUCCAACACUCAAUUAUCCCAAUAAUAACACACUUCUGUUUUCCCUGUGUUCGGAUCGUGUGGCCUGCUGUGGCGGUGCAGUGUGUGCACAGAGCUGCUUGGAGUGAGGAAAAAAAGCAACAAACCAAACGUAUGGCACAGCAAAGGGUGCUUACACUGUCCUCUAUGCUGUGGGACUUCUGCUGUGUCUCUACCUUGGAUGGAGGAGCCAAGUAACCACCAUGGGAAAGGACCAUUUUUUCCCACAGGCUGCAGAAGAAUGAAUCCUUACUGGUUCUCAACAGCCUUACAGGAAUAUAUUUGAAGCACAGCUUGCUGCUAGGACUGUGUGGUAUGUUGCAGGGGCAAGACUAUCAUUUUAUUGUGCGUAUACAUCUUGUAACCUCCCUAGUGGGAUGCUGAUCUUCCAAAGUCUCGCACAACACCAAGAAUUCAGAAUAGUUUCCCACGGAUAUUUUCUCUGGAAGAAUUUCUUCAAAGAAUUAACUCAGCCAGGAAACGGAAACCAAACGGGGACCAAAUUGCUUCACACAUGUCAGUCUCCCAUUGGUAAGGGAUUUUAGAAAUGGCCACUUGAUGAUUAAUCUCAACUACGCAUCCCUAAUUUCAUUAACAGUUCCUAGAGAUGAAGGGUGAAGCCAUUUGAGAAAAUCAAGCUUUAUUUGCUUUUUAUUCAUUAGGGGUUAUUCUGCAAGAUUGAACUUCAAUGAUCUUGAAAGCACUUCAGAUCAUUAAGAUGUAUGGAACUUGGAUUUACUUUUCAGUAUGUAUAUCAUUCUCCGUUCCUUAAUACUUUUCGUCAAUCUCAAAGAAUGCAAACAAGCUCAGCUGUUUUAUAUUUGUUUACAAUCAACCUUUACCAGGCCCAUGUCAGCAUCGUUCCAUAUUUGUUGCUAAACGAUGGUGGAGUGCAAAUUCCUGAGAUAAAGCAGCAUUUUGUACUCAUUCUUUGAACUGUUUACAGUGAAAUACUGUAGAGAAAACUAAAUUUGCUAGCAGAGCCAGAGAAGGUAUUGCUGCAUUCACAGCCUCUGGUCCUCUCUCUACAUUGUCUGCUGAGAUAGCUGUGAAUUUGGCUCACUUUCUUUGUUUGUAUGUCAAACUGUAUUUGUUGCUUGAAGUGAAUGCACAUGCCCUAGGCAACGCUCAGCAUUGGGUAUAACAUUUUUGGCUCUUUAUGGCUGGUUGAAAGUCUUUCCAUUUUUGUUAGACUAAGCUGUCCUGGAUUUAGUUAAGCUAGUGUGGGGUAGCCACUUUUAUUUUGGACUAAGAGUGAUUUGUGUCAAUUUAGCUUGAAUCCAUCCCUAAUUGACUUGCACUGAGCUGAGCUAACACCUGAUUUAUGCCCUCAAUUAUCCUAUUUUAACCAGCAGCUCAGGCAUGCUGUCCAGCUCCAGCAACUUAAACGAGUUACUGUACCUCAGCUGAGCCAUGGUAACUGCAGUGUGCCUUUCUCUAGCCUGCAGCAGACGUGAGGCUCAGUGUGUCAGCUUAACCUCAGGGGCAAGAAAAAGAGAAGUUGAAACUGGUUUCUUCCAUCUGAGAUGGCCACAGGCGAAGAGCAAACACACAUGGACCAUUACCGUGGCUCAGGCGAUGCAUGGUACUGCCAUUUUCAGGUCAAAUCUUAGAAUUAGUAGGAACUUUUCCAUGGGCUUUGUACAGUGUUAUUCCACAGUGAGAAGUUUGAACGCCCUUCAUUUCACAGUCCAUCUUUGAGAUGCUUGCAUCUUUCUUAAAAAACGAUGAAAACGAACAAAACAAGACCGCCAAUAAUAAAAGAAAACCAGCAGCCCCAGACUUUCACCUUUCCUCUCAGGUAAGACCUGUUUUCUUACUCUACUCUGUGGGAAAGCUAAGAAUAUGUUUGCUUAUUUUCAACUAGGAUUUGCUAAACUGAAGCUAAAGAUAGAAGAGUUCCAAACCUAGGAGGAGUCUGGACCCUCUCAAACUAUGACUGGGGCCAAGGAAACAACAUACCAGGCAUCAAAACUUUGGAUGCUUUUUUUUCUUUCUUUUUAUUUAGUAACUGAAACUCCAGUUCAUCUUUCCCUGCUUCCACAUAAUACAAGGGAAGAUAUUUGAUUAAAUUAUGUGAGAUGCUUUUUCAGGCAGAUGGAUUCAACACAUGGCUGCAGGACCAGGCUUUAUUAUCUCGACUAACGUGGACACAUUUUGAACACCGCUUCUCACUCUGCCAUCAGCCGCCACCACCUCUGCAGUACUGUGACAGCAAGAGAAAAAGGACAGGAAAGUGAUAAAGUUUGUACACGUAAGCAGAAAAGAACUUUCUGUCCAAAGCCAGCUGGCUUGGCUUGGCACUGAAGUGGCAUUUUAGCACAAGAUGACACAUUUAUGCGUGUACUGGAGCUGUGUUUCAAAACACUUGCCCUAGAUGCCACAGGAAGGCUCUGUGAAAUAGUUUAUCACCAAGUAACCAGAGAGAGCAGGUGAGCUGUCUUCUAGACUGGCAAACAAAUGAAAGCAUACUAAGAAAUCACAGCAAAUAUGCUGCUGCUUUUAAUAAUUAGAAUUGAGUGUAUUCUCAGUGAAGUUCUGGGAGAUGAAAUAAUUCCGUAUCACAACCCAGAGGACAACAUGUCCAUUAAUAAAUGCCUGAUGCUGUUUGCUCUGAUACAAAACUCAGAAAUGCACACCAGCUGAUUCAUGUUAACACAGGUGGUUUUUUUUUUUUUUAAGUCUUGUUUUCCGAAUUAGAGCAAACCUCCCAGGAUAAAACAAAUGGCAUCUUUGCCUUUACCUGAUAAAGUGCCUGAGCAAGAAGGGAGGUUGAUGGCUUCUAUAAAUCCUGUGGGACACAGAUCAAUCAUCCCAAGUGUAAUCCCAGAGAAACUGACUGAAAAUAAACCACAGCUACGUUUGUACUUUGGAGUCUGGAUGCCAUCAUAAAAUGCCAAAAACGUACCUUGUAUACUGCCCAAGUUUAAAGAUUAAACUUUAUUUCAGAAGUUAA